UCCACGGGGCUGGCGGAGCUCGUCUCGCUGAAGGCGUCGGAGCCUCCGAUGGAUCUUUUAAAAACCUUCUGACCUGGACGGCAGGCUCUGCCAAGUUCCACGUUAAAAUCAGGACCUCUAACCGCUCCUCCUUCCCGGGUCGAAGCGGACCCCGGAGCCGCUAAUUACCUGCCGACGUCAUCAGCGGGCUGAAGCGCACACACGUGCCCUCGUCUUCCAGUUCCACCACGUCGACUCCGCUGGCGGGGACCGACUGGGCCAGCUGCUCGCCGAGCUGGAGGGUCAAAGGAGGGUGAGCGGGGCCCAGGCACGCAAGUAGUAGUAGCAGGAGCAGCGGCGGCAUUUAUCGCGAGAGUCCACUUGGUGCUGUGCACUGUACUAGGUGCUUGGGAAGUACAGAAAAGCCAAGUGACAGGUCUCCUGCCCGCCAGCAGCUUCACGCUUUUCCCGGGGGGGCUGGCAGACAGAAAAAGAGGCCCCGUCAGAGUGGGCCUGAGGCGGAAACAGCCCAGACUUACCCACUGGUUAAAUGCGUCAUGGAGGUCUCUCUCCCGGCUGGCUGCCGGGUCUGGGGGUCCCGGUGGCGCGGUGCCCGCCUUUUGAUCUAAUCCCAAAACAAAGACACGAGCGUGACGCCCAGAAACCCGUACAACGUACGUGGGGAGCUAAUCCAGGAAGGCGAUGGCAAGCGCCCCGGAAGGCUCGCUUCCCACUUGGCCUCGCGGGAAGAAAACUUCGGCUUCCGCCGCGUUUUUAACACUGAGUUAACCAGGACGUCUGGCUGUCCCAGGAACGGACGCUCGACGGCAGACAAGCGGCGCUGAAGGGGGAAUUUACGUUCGGAGGGUUACAAAGUCACGGUGGAGGACAACUCCAUCACUUUGACAGUUGGCGUGAGAGUCCCGCCUACACACAGACUUGAGAACUGGAGAGAAAUGAAAUGGGAAUGCUUUUUAAUCUCAGGGCCUGACAACGUUCUCCUCUAGAUCACUCACCUAACCUUGAAAAUUCCUGAGAAAAUUUGAAUACCACCACUGGAGAGUUGAGCUCAUCUUCCACCUGAAUAAACAAAAGUCUGAUGUUA